rnacentral:rRNA from 1 species
CCUACGGGAGGCAGCAGUGAGGAAUCUUCCACAAUGGGCGAAAGCCUGAUGGAGCAACGCCGCGUGAAGGAUGAAGGCCUUCGGGUUGUAAACUUCUUUUAUGAGUGAAGAAUAUGACGGUAACUCAUGAAUAAGCACCGGCUAACUACGUGCCAGCAGCCGCGGUCAUACGUAGGGUGCGAGCAUUAUCCGGAGUGACUGGGCGUAAAGAGUUGCGUAGGCGGUAAGUCAAGUGAAUAGUGAAACCUGGUGGCUCAACCAUACAGACUAUUAUUCAAACUGGCUUACUCGAGAGUGGUAGAGGUCACUGGAAUUUCUUGUGUAGGAGUGAAAUCCGUAGAUAUAAGAAGGAACACCGAUGGCGUAGGCAGGUGACUGGACCAUUUCUGACGCUGAGGCUCGAAAGCGUGGGGAGCGAACAGGAUUAGAUACCCUUGUAGUC